rnacentral:rRNA from 1 species
AGGGAGCGGCUGCUAACAUGCAGUCGUACGGACAGAACAGGGAAGCACUUGCGGAGUGGAACUAGGAAAGAAGGGGGAUGGGUGAGUAACGCGUGGACAACCUACCUUGAAAGGGAAAUAACCUCGAGAAAUCGAAGCUAAUACCCCAUAAUAACCUUGCUUCGCAUGAAGUAAGGAGGAAAGGCGGUCUUUGUGCUGUCGAUACAAGAUGGGUUCGCGUCUGAUUAGCUAGUUUGGUGAGGUAAAGGCUCACCAAGGCGACGAUCAGUAGCCGGCCUGAGAGGGUGAACGGCCACAUUGGGACUGAGACACGGCCCAAACUCCUACGGGAGGCAGCAGUGGGGAAUCUUCCGCAAUGGGCGAAAGCCUGACGGAGCAAUGCCGCGUGAGUGAAGAAGGCCUUCGGGUUGUAAAACUCUGUCCUAGACGAAGAGAGAGUAUUGUAGUAACUGACAAUACUAGGACGGUAGACUAGGAGGAAGCCCCGGCUAACUAUGUGCCAGCAGCCGCGGUAAAACAUAGGGGGCAAGCGUUGUCCGGAAUCACUGGGCGUAAAGGGCGCGCAGGCGGUAAAUUAAGUCAGGUGUGAAAGUUCGGGGCUCAACCCCGUGAUUGCACCUGAUACUGAUAAACUAGAGUGUUGGAGAGGUAAGUGGAAUUCCUAGUGUAGCGGUGGAAUGCGUAGAUAUUAGGA